ensembl:lncRNA
UGGGGGGUGGAGAGGAGGGAGGAGAAAAAAAAAUGUGGGAGAGAAGAUGGCUAGAGGAAAAGUACAGAGACAAACAGAUACUUGGCUGAUGGAAAUCCUGAUUCCUGUUUCUGGUUAGUAUCUUGGAUACCCAAGACCAUCCCCCUACACACAAAUUCUUUUGACCCCUCCUCUGCCCAGCAUCAGCUUCUUCACAGCCACUGGGCAAUUCUCAAAGGAGAGAACAUAUCUUCCUCAGGGGGUCUAUAGGUUUAAGUUCCCUUUCCUUUUUUUUUCCCAGAGCUUUCCCUUUAAGAUAAUGAUACCUUAUUUCUGAAUAGUCUUUUUACAGUUAUUCAAGUGAUUUCUUUUGACUCUCACAGUAAAUCACGGUAUAAAUAUUAUCGUCACCCUCCCUUCCUCCCCAGCACUCACAAUUGACAGGGGAGGAAAUGGAAGCCGGAGAGGUAACGUGACUCGCCCAGGGGGACGUGCUAGUGAGUGUCAGAGCCCAGAUGGGAAUCUUCUGGCAUCUCACACCAAAUUUGGCAGUCCCUUUGAGCUGACGUCCGUGGCCUCAACACAGCAGACAUUUAUUGAGCACCUGUUGUGUGCCAGGCCCUACUCUGGGUCCUGAGGGGACAGAGGCCAAAAAGACAGGGUCAGUGCUGUGGGAGGAGUGCUGUGUUGGUGGCAGGGGAGUGAGGGAGUAGAGUGGGAGGCAGGCUUUUCUUUGGUGUGAUGCACAUCUGAAAGAGAUGUGAGCAAAGCACAUACCUCUGGCCAACACAGAAGGGAUGGAAAAGUGGAAGUCGGUCACCUGCAGAGCCUUAGCUGGCCAGUUGUUUCACAUACUCUAACAAGUGUUUCUUUUGCUUUGGAAACGCAGGAGAAAGCAGAUGCCUAUUAGACGGAACCAGCCUGAACAGGAGGCAGCUGGAGAGAAGCAUGCCAGGAAGAAUUUAGCCUCACUCCUGGAAGGAGAGGACCCACUGGAAAGAACAGAACCCAGCUGGCUUAGCCCUGGCCCACUCUUUCUGGGGCCCUGGCCUCAGGCCCCUGUAGCCCACCUGCUGUUGUGGGCCGUCACCCACCUACAUGGUCAGAGGGCCAUGAAACAAGGUACUGCCUAUUUCUAAAUAAAAGAGAGCUUUGCUGAAAAACACCUAUUAAUCCCUACCACUGCCAUGGCAAACAAUGCUAAAAAUCUAUCUCCCCCUUCUUUUUGUCUAUCCGAAGGGAUCAAACUCGGGACUCAGGGAUUCAGAUGAGGGUUUCCUGGAGGAACUACAGAGAAAAAAUGUCCAAGGCCUGGCUUGGACAAAGAGGGUCCUGAUACCAAGUGCCGAACAGAAGGACAGAGUGUCUGGGGUCAGGGCUGCCUUCCUAGGUUAGAGCAAAGGGGGGAUGUGGAGGGCCGGAUGGAUCGGUUGAGUCUGUCCAGGCUCAGGGAGGUUCAAGCAGGCACAAUUAACGCAUAAGGUCCUUUCCUCUCUUUAAGGGUUUUCCUUCCUAGGCUGCCUCUGGUGUUUGUUUAGAUCUGAUCUCACUGGAGGUGGGUGUGGUAGGAGGGGAAGGGAUUUGCUAGGGCCUUCUGGGCUCCAUACCUUCUGGGGAAGGCAGAGACUGUGUGGUCAAGAGGUUAUGUGCUUGACCUUGGACCCUGGACGUUCAGGUGAGGGUUUUUUUGAAUCUGUGGCUGGCCUGCCCAGAAGGCUUUUAAGGUCCUAGAUUGGGGUUAGGUGAUCAAGCAGUGGGGAAGGGAAAAGGGAAUAGUUUAGAAACUGUGGCCUGGAGAUGCCUAAGAAGCUUAUCUUUCACCAAGAUCAGGCCCCUUGGGCUCUUCCCUUAGGAAGGCAGCCACUCAAAGAUCACCAUCCAUUCACAAGCCUCUCCCGCCCCAGCUCACCUUUCAGUCUGUGCUCUGAACAGGCUGCCCGUGCUACCUGGGCACAUGCCAUGCUAUGCUGUGGCCAGCUUUCCCUCCCAGACUAAGCUCAUUUAUUUGGCUCCAUCACCCCCACCUUCCAUUCCCCAAUUGCCCUGGAAUCUCCUCCACUUUGCUGUCUCUUCUCAUGCAUUAUCCAUUCAUUCAUUCAAUGAAUCUGGAGAUUGGUCAUUAAAAAUUAUAAUGGUAGC